GAUGAACGCUGGCGGCGUGCCUAAUACAUGCAAGUCGAGCGAACGGACGAGAAGCUUGCUUCUCUGAUGUUAGCGGCGGACGGGUGAGUAACACGUGGAUAACCUACCUAUAAGACUGGGAUAACUUCGGGAAACCGGAGCUAAUACCGGAUAAUAUUUUGAACCGCAUGGUUCAAAAGUGAAAGACGGUCUUGCUGUCACUUAUAGAUGGAUCCGCGCUGCAUUAGCUAGUUGGUAAGGUAACGGCUUACCAAGGCAACGAUGCAUAGCCGACCUGAGAGGGUGAUCGGCCACACUGGAACUGAGACACGGUCCAGACUCCUACGGGAGGCAGCAGUAGGGAAUCUUCCGCAAUGGGCGAAAGCCUGGCGGAGCAACGCCGCGUGAGUGAUGAAGGUCUUCGGAUCGUAAAACUCUGUUAUUAGGGAAGAACAUAUGUGUAAGUAACUGCGCACAUCUUGACGGUACCUAAUCAGAAAGCCACGGCUAACUACGUG
rnacentral:rRNA from 1 species